AGUGAACGCUGGCGGUAGGCCUAACACAUGCAAGUCGAACGGCAGCACAGGAGAGCUUGCUCUCUGGGUGGCGAGUGGCGGACGGGUGAGGAAUACAUCGGAAUCCACUCUGUCGUGGGGGAUAACGUAGGGAAACUUACGCUAAUACCGCAUACGACCUACGGGUGAAAGCAGGGGAUCUUCGGACCUUGCGCUAUUGAAUGAGCCGAUGUCGGAUUAGCUAGUUGGCGGGGUAAAGGCCCACCAAGGCGACGAUCCGUAGCUGGUCUGAGAGGAUGAUCAGCCACACUGGAACUGAGACACGGUCCAGACUCCUACGGGAGGCAGCAGUGGGGAAUAUUGGACAAUGGGCGCAAGCCUGAUCCAGCCAUACCGCGUGGGUGAAGAAGGCCUUCGGGUUGUAAAGCCCUUUUGUUGGGAAAGAAAUCCAGCUGGCUAAUACCCGGUUGGGAUGACGGUACCCAAAGAAUAAGCACCGGCUAACUUCGUGCCAGCCGCCGCCGUAA
rnacentral:rRNA from 1 species